rnacentral:tRNA from 1 species
GCGCCGGUGGUGUAAGGCGAACAUCGCUGCCCGGAAAGCAGAAGAUGCUGGUUCGAGUCCUGCCUGGUGCA